AACACCCAACACACUGCGCCCUUCACACACACAAUACGUCCAAACAUAUAUAUAUAUAUAUAUGUAUGUGUUUGGACGUAUUGUAUGUGUGAAGGGCGCAGUGUGUUGGGUGUA
rnacentral:miRNA from 1 species